UACGGAGGUGGCAAGCGUUACUCGGUUUGACUGGGUGUAAAGGGUCCGUAGGCGGCCUGUUAAGUGAAAGGUGAAAUCCUUCGGCUCAACUGAAGAAUUGCCUUUUAAACUGCCAGGCUAGAGGAUGGUAGAGGAAAGUGGAACUGUUGGUGUAAAGGUGAAAUUUGUGGAUAUCAACAGGAACGCCCGUAGUGAAGACGACUUUCUGGACCAUUCCUGACGCUCAGGGACGAAAGCUAGGGGAGCAAACAGGAUUAGAUACCCGAGUA
rnacentral:rRNA from 1 species